UGGAUCUUCCAAUCAUAACACGCUUUUGGAUCCUCUGAUUGGAGAGAACCCCUUCAAUGUUAAAGUUGAUUAAGUGGAUGAAACAUAGAACUCUCUGCCAUUUAUAUUGGUGGACAGCUUCUUCUCCCACGGCCCCCAUGCAUUUGGUCUCCAUAACACUUUCAAGUCUCCAAUGGUACCUCUUGUAUGGAGAUAUAUCUCGAUAAAGGCAGAUCAUAUGCUCGCCUUACCUAAGGUAAAAAUUGUUAGACCAUUUAAUUUCCCACUGGAGAUGCCACUACUUCAACUGAUGGGGGGCCAUUAUAAUAUACACAUGGGUAAUUAACAAACCUUUUCUUAGAGUGGACAGCAAGGUAAGCAUUGUAAUGGAGCUAUGGAGUUGGGUGAAAUGGAAGACUGUUGGCAAGGGAAGAUACACAAGGAGCCAAGUGAAGAGCCGAGAUGUUUGUUCAGUUGACUGGUGGAAUUGAGGAGGCUGCUUACUUGCAGACCAAAGUCAAACCCAAAGGCCAAGGUUGGUGAUAACCCAUUGUAGACAUCAAUCCAAGUAAGUAAACUACUCAAUUGGUCAAGAUUGUACAUGAUGAGCUACUGAAAUUGAUGGGUGGAGGAGAAAGUAUCUGAGCUACCAGCAUUUCAGCUUCUCUCUCUCCACGACAAAUCCCUUUUGUAUGGAGAUAUCUCGACAAAGACCAGCUUUAAAGUCAUAUGCUCUCAAUGGAGAACUCAGUGCCCCCAUGCAUGGUUCUCCAUAACCCUUUCAAAUCUCCACAGAGAUACCUCUUGGAUGAAGAUAUCUCGACGAAUGCAGCUCAUAUGCUCGCUUAACCUAAGGUAAGGAUUAUUACACCAUUUAAUUUUGUGUUCCGUAGAUGCCAAGGAGGGUGCUCAUCCUGCUGAAGUUCAGAGCUUUGUGCAGGUAAAGUGAUUGGAUCUUUCUAAUCAGAGCACGCUUUUAGAUCCUCUAAAUGGAGAACCUCUCAUUCAAGUUGAUGAAACAGUAACUCAGCCAUAUAUGCUCUAAAUAGCUCCAGCAAGCCGCAGGAGAAGUCUUUGUCACACGGAAAUUUUUAGAGAACUGUUGCGGUGGUCAGAGGUGCCUAUUUAUUCACUUCAUGUCUGUGCCUAGCUCUCCGAAAUUCGAACUUCAGAGUGUUUGCUCAGUUGACUAGUGUACUCUAGGAGGCUGCUUGUAGAUCAAACUCAAAGGCCAAGUUGUUAGAAGGUUUGUUCAGUCUCUAAGUGACCAUGCCGUUGGUAUGGGAGUCAUUCGUGGAUUCAGACCAGAUCAGUAGUUGGUGAAGCUUGUCAUAAUGUUGUCAAAGGAUGGAUCACAACAAGCAGAAAGUGGGUAUUAUAAGGUUUGUUUAAAUAUGUUAGUCUCCUAGACGUUGGGAUGGGAGUCAUUCGUGGAGUCGGACCAAAUCAGCAGUUGGUCAAGAUUCUACAUGAUGAGCUAGUGAAAUUUAUGGGUGGAGGGGAAGUAUAUGUGCUAUAGUUUACUUAAUCAGGUCCUACAGUAAUAUUGUUGGCUGGGCUCCAAGGAGUUUGAAAGAUAGCUUGUUACCUAAAAAAGUACCAGGUUUGUGCCGGUUUAUACAGCAGGGACUGAUGUAAAACCUGCAGAUCUAGCCAAUAAGCAAGGUCUAAAAGAAGCUCAAAAGAAUAAUGUCUAUGUAGUUAUCAUGGGUACUGCAGCGAGCCUUCAAGAUAAAAAAGGCAUGAUGAACGAUUUAAAAGACGUGAAGAAAUUUUUGUAUCCCACAGCAGUGCUACUACUUGUUGAUGCCAUGACUGGACAAGAAGCUCCAGAUUGAACCAUUCAAUGCAUUUUUGCUACCCUAGAUGCCGAGGAAGAGCUAUCUGGUGCUCAUCCUGCUGAAGUACAGAGCUUUGGUGGGAAACUGGAUUGGAUCUUCUAAACGUAACACGCUUUUGGAUUCUCUGAUUGGCAGGAGCAGUAACCAAGAUUCCCAAUCAGUAUCCCCAGUUUCUAAACUGACUUGAAGGCUAUAACAGGCAGUCCUGAGUCACAGAUCUAAAGGCCGAAGCUCUCUUCCUCUGGCUUGUAGUACUGAAACUCUUGAGACAAAGAGUUUUGAGCAAAAAGCAUUGUAACUCCCAAGCCAAAGCGCCUCUUCAUCUGAUAAACCUUCCCUUCCUAAUAAGUCAAACCACUUAGAUAUUCUCUGGUAAUUAUACAGUUUAACAUCAUAUCGAGUAUAUUAACACUUCUUAAACUGAGUAAGGAUAAAGCAGCAUCUAUGAU